UCUGCUUUUCUCAGAGAAUACAUCCAUUGUUCAUAAAAUCGUCCUGUUUGUCAGACUCAGUCACUUAUAAGUUUUCCAGGUUUGGGUGGGAGAGGCAAAAUGAAUACACAAUAGUCCCCCCUAAUCUGCAGGGAAUACAUUCUAAGACCCUCCAGUGGAUGCCUGAAACCACAGACAGUAUGGAACCUUAUAUAUACUAUGUUUUUUCCUACAUAUACAUACCUACGGUAAAGUUUAAUUUAUAAAUUAAGGCGUAGUAAGAGAUUAAGAACAAUAACUAAUAAUAAAGUAGAACAACUAUAACACUAUACUGUAAUAAGUUAUGCGGAUAUCGUCUGUCUCUCUCGGAAUGUCUCAUACUAUACUCACUUUCUUCUUUCUGUGCGGAUGUGAGAUAAUGAAAUGCCUACGUGAUGAAACAAAGUGAAGGAAAUGACAAAGGCAGUUGAUGUAGCCUCAGGCUACCAUCGAUCUCCUGACUGUACAUCAGAAGGAAGAUCAUCUGCUUCUGAACUACCUCUGACUAUGGGUAACCAAAACCAUGGAAAGCGAAACUGUGGAGAAGCAGGCUGUCUUCUAGCACAACAGAUAACAUCUAAGGAAUGACCAGGUCAGGCCAUCAUGUGCAUGUUCCAGACCACUGUCCCUGAACACCUUGAUGCCAAGACCUUCUGGCUGUAGGGAAUAAGUGACUUAUGACAGACACCUGGAUCCUGUCUUUGUUUUGACCAGUUCCGGGAUGCCGGAGAAGACACGUGUACCAGACCACGAGCAUCAAUAAAAACCCCAGACCCCUAGCAAAGACUUCCUGUACUCCAACUGUACCUGCUUUCUCUCUCUAUUCCUUCAGUAAACUCUGCUUUCACCUCCUGAUGGUUCAAGUUUGAUUUCCAUCCUGUGUGAAGCCAAAGACCAUCUUGGCUGGUCCUGUGUGACUCCCUCUGGGUCCUUCGACCCAGCCUGCCUGCAUCAUCUUGGCGACCACAAAGGGACCCUCAGAAGAACAGCAGUAUCCUCAGAUUGAGUCUGCAAAGCACAAUUUGGCUUUCAGGAACCGAUGCACACUACCACCACUAUCAUCGACAGAAAUCUGCUAAUCCAAACAGCUGGAACUGAUUUAUAUUUAACCAAGCUGAUAUUACUAUGUGAAAACUAGAUAUCUUCUCCAUGGCAUUAUUUUGACACUCAAAAUCAAAUUAUUAAUAUAGAUGUGUGAUCUUUAAAAAAACAAAGAAUAUCAUCUAGGCAAUUCUA